CACGUGGUCACAAAGGGGCGGGUCAGCGCUUAGCUCACGUGCUUCAGGAUUUUGGUCUUUUCUUUCUUGCUUUCAUGACAGCGUUUCCAAAAUAUUGCUGUAACAUUUUAUGUUAUUUGUAGAAAAAGGAGUAUAGCCUAUUAUUGUAAAAUAUAAUAGAUUAAAUUCAUUUGAAAAAAAUGCACAUUCAACAAAUAUGUCUUUCAGACGCCUACCUGGGGUGAACCUGAUGAUGUUGGACUCCAAUCAGAGCUGGAGUCCAUCCAAACCCAAACACUGCGGAGCUCCUCCAAGAGGACGUGCGUAUGCAGUCCUGAGAGUUUGAUCAGAGUGCACGAACAACACGAUAGUGAAGACCAUGAAGCCGAAGUCGCUCUGUGUCCCGCGGCUUGGCCUCUUUGAGGACAGAUACAGGCGGCAGGUCGACACCGGCGCACCGGAGCAGAGCCUCGAUCAACCGGUAGAGAAGAGACCCAGAGAUCUGCGCUAUACUUUACUGCCGGAGAGAUCACCAUACGAGCCUUUAGUGGAAGACGACAGCCAACACAAACUAAAGGAGGAAAAGAAAGCAAAAAAGAAAGAAAAGUAUAAAAAAUACAGGAAGAACGUAGGAAAGGCUCUUCGCUACAGUUGGAAAUGUCUGAUGUUGGGUCUGCAGAACUUCACUGUGGGAUAUUCCACCCCUCUUUCCGCUGCUGCCUCAAUUGUCCCAGAUUUCCAUCCGGGAGGAGCGUGGGGUUGAGACAGUCUGUGACCAGCAUUUGUAAUUUACUAAAUCUUAAACACUAAACCUUUAUGAAUCAUUUAAUGCUGCACAUCAAGACGAUUUGACCCUGGGCAGCUCGACCUGUCAUGCUGUAAACUGUUAAACUGAUGUAAAUAUCUGCUCUUCAGAUUUGUAUUAAAGUGGAGUUUCUAACUUGCAUUUGAGUUUUACAGCUGCAAGAAAGACAUGUUUCUCUUUUUACUCUGAGAUCUAUCUGUAUAUAUUUUGCUUUGGCUGAAAGAGAAUAUAUGAAUUUCUGUAUUGAAGUAAUUAAAUAUUCUUGUAUUACAGAACUAUAGGCUACUGACAUGAUUGAUUCUGUAAUUAUUUUAUACAAAGGCUGGAAUGUUUCUCUGUCAUUGUUCCAGCAGCAAAUUGCAAGUGAUGGUCACCUGCAUUCAUGCUCUGUAGAUGUAAUGUUGACAAAGGUGAAAGUGAUUUAGACUCUUAACUGGAAGAGAUAGGUAUGUUUAUGGUCUGUAAAUGGAAUGAAAUGCCCUCUGAAAUAACUGUUUGAUUUGAUUUAAUCCAUUUCAUGGACAAAAAAAAAGAUUUGCUUGACAUGAGAAAGCUGAAUGUUCUAGAGAGGGAAGUAAGAGUAAGUGUUUUCAAAGGAGGCCAAGAGCCUUAAAGACAAAGGAUGGGAUUAUGAGAAACCACAACAGGAAAAGACAGUCUGGCAC
ensembl:lncRNA